GACGAACGCUGGCGGCGCGCUUAACACAUGCAAGUCGAGCGAGAACCAGGACUUCGGUCCUGGGGAGAGCGGCGAACGGGUGCGUAACACGUGAGCAACCUGCCCCGAAGACCGGGACAACCCGAGGAAACUCGGGCUAAUACCGGAUGCCUUCACCGGAUCGCAUGAUCUGCUGAAGAAAUGGCUUCCGCUUCGGGAUGGGCUCGCGGCCUAGCAGCUUGUUGGUGAGGUAACGGCUCACCAAGGCAACGACGGGUAGCUGGUCUGAGAGGAUGUCCAGCCACACUGGGACUGAGACACGGCCCAGACUCCUACGGGAGGCAGCAGUGGGGAAUCUUGCACAAUGGGCGAAAGCCUGAUGCAGCGACGCCGCGUGCGGGAUGAAGGCCUUCGGGUUGUAAACCGCUUUCAGCAGGGACGAUCGUGACGGUACCUGCAGAAGAAGCCCCGGCCAACUACGUGCCAGCCGCCGCGGUAA
rnacentral:rRNA from 1 species